rnacentral:rRNA from 1 species
CAGCCGCCACGGGAAUACGAAGGGGGCUAGCGUUGUUCGGAUUUACUGGGCGUAAAGCGCACGUAGGCGGAUAUUUAAGUCAGGGGUGAAAUCCCAGAGCUCAACUCUGGAACUGCCUUUGAUACUGGGUAUCUUGAGUAUGGAAGAGGUGAGUGGAAUUCCGAGUGUAGAGGUGGAAUUCGUAGAUAUUCGGAGGAACACCAGUGGCGAAGGCGGCUCACUGGUCCAUUACUGACGCUGAGGUGCGAAAGCGUGGGGAGCAAACAGGAUUAGAUACCCGAGUAGUCCCUGUCUCUUAUAC